rnacentral:tRNA from 1 species
GCUUUUAAAGGAUAAAAG